GACGAACGCUGGCGGCGUGCUUAACACAUGCAAGUCGAGCGGUAAGGCCCUUUCGGGGGUACACGAGCGGCGAACGGGUGAGUAACACGUGGGUGACCUGCCCUCAGCUCUGGGAUAAGCCUGGGAAACUGGGUCUAAUACCGGAUAUGACCCCAUGACGCAUGUUGUGGGGUGGAAAGCCUUGUGCGGCUGAGGAUGGGCCCGCGGCCUAUCAGCUUGUUGGUGGGGUAAUGGCCACCAAGGCGACGACGGGUAGCCGGCCUGAGAGGGCGACCGGCCACACUGGGACUGAGACACGGCCCAGACUCCUACGGGAGGCAGCAGUGGGGAAUCUUGCGCAAUGGGCGAAAGCCUGACGCAGCGACGCCGCGUGAGGGAUGACGGCCU
rnacentral:rRNA from 1 species